rnacentral:tmRNA from 1 species
GGGGGUGUUCUGGAUUCGACUCUUGGUUGGAUUGUCUCGCUGCCGGUCGAGGAUGAAGGUCCCUCGUUAAUCAUCCUUCAAAAAAACAUAAAUGGCACCUACGAAGAAAUGCCCCUCGCUGCUUAAUUAACGCAGUGACGAUCGCCCAGUGACGCCUGAUAGCUGACGUGAUCGCCGACUUCAGGCAUAACGCUUUCUGCGACCCGCGGAGUUAGCGUCGUAUCUUCGACCCGGGGGUUAGGAGUUGGUGUGGCCGGGUUCAUCGCCUGCCAAUUCCGAGAUUAAAUUGAACCUAUGCCGGUAGACGCGUUGCGAGAAUGCUGAGAGGACGCGGGUUCGAUUCCCGCCACCUCCACCA